rnacentral:rRNA from 1 species
UCGGGAAUUUUGGGCAAUGGGCGAAAGCCUGACCCAGCAACGCCGCGUGAAGGAUGAAGUAUUUCGGUAUGUAAACUUCGAAAGAAUAGGAAGAAUAAAUGACGGUACUAUUUAUAAGGUCCGGCUAACUACGUGCCAGCAGCCGCGGUAAUACGUAGGGACCAAGCGUUGUUCGGAUUUACUGGGCGUAAAGGGCGCGUAGGCGGCAAUUCAAGUCAUCUGUGAAAUCUCCGGGCUUAACUCGGAACGGUCAGAUGAUACUGCUUUGCUAGAGUGCAGAAGGGGCAAUCGGAAUUCUUGGUGUAGCGGUGAAAUGCGUAGAUAUCAAGAGGAACACCUGAGGUGAAGACGGGUUGCUGGGCUGACACUGACGCUGAGGCGCGAAAGCGUGGGGAGCAAACAGGAUUAGAUACCCAUGUAGUCCCUGAGCGGGCUGGCAAGGCGCAU